UGAGGAAUCUUCCACAAUGGGCGAAAGCCUGAUGGAGCAACGCCGCGUGCAGGAUGAAGGCCUUCGGGUCGUAAACUGCUUUUAUUAGUGAGGAAUAUGACGGUAACUAAUGAAUAAGGGUCGGCUAACUACGUGACAGCAGCCGCGGUCAUACGGAGGACCCAAGCGUUAUCCGGAGUGACUGGGCGUAAAGAGUUGCGUAGGUGGUUUAUUAAGCGAGUAGUGAAAUCUAACGGCUCAACCGUUAGGCUAUUGCUCGAACUGAUAAACUCGAGAAUGGUAGAGGUAACUGGAAUUUCUAGUGUAGGAGUGGAAUCCGUAGAUAUUAGAAGGAACACCAAUGGCGUAGGCAGGUUACUGGACCAUUUCUGACACUGAGGCACGAAAGCGUGGGGAGCGAACC
rnacentral:rRNA from 1 species